GUUACGGCCACAUACAUGAAGAGUUUAACAUUUUAUAGACACUGAUUUGACUGACAUCACUGUCACCCCUCUGUUUUCUAUUGUUUUAUUUCACUUUCUCAUUUCCAUCAUAAUUUUGAUAAGCUGGAGUUUUCUUCUUUUUUUUCUGGGUUGCAAAACAGCUUCUCUGGUUUCGGCAAAAACAGUCACAGAAAAUAUUGAUAUGUUCUCUUGUUCAGUGUGGCCAUUGUGUGUUUUUCAAAAUCAGUGUCUGUCCUUGAUGAGUCACUGUGUUUAUGAGUGAAAUCUACAUGUGGAUGUCGGAGUUAUGGCACACAAGAUUUUCCCUGAUUGCUCAACAAAUCACAAUAAAAAGGAAGCUCAGGGAGCACAACUGAGGACUCAGCACUGCAGUGGGACAGUUUACCAGAGAUCAGUGAACAGACACGUGAGAACAUGAAGACUGUGAUUCUUGCUCUUGUGGUGUUGUUGGUUGUCAGCCAGGGUGAAGCCCUGACGUGUUGGUGUGGAGGUAUAAGGUCAUGUUUAGGCCGUACAGAGACCUGCUCCAUUUCAGAGGAGCGUCUGUGCCAGUGUGUCCUUUGAUCAGUUCCCAAGGAACAACUUCCAUGGUUGUUACAGCGAAGAUGCCUGCAGGCAGCUGAAUCAUCCUGGUAUAGUAUCUUGCAGGUACUGCAAGACCGACAUGUGCCAGUGAUUAAUGAAGC